UACGGAGGGUGCAGGCGUUAUCCGGAUUUACUGGGGUUAAAGGGUGCGUAGGUGGGUCUGUAAGUCAGUGGUGAAAUCUCCGAGCUUAACUCGGAAACUGCCAUUGAUACUAUCAGUCUUGAAUAUUGUGGAGGUCAGCGGAAUAUGUCAUGUAGCGGUGAAAUGCUUAGAUAUGACAUAGAACACCAAUUGCGAAGGCAGCUGGCUACACAUAUAUUGACACUGAGGCACGAAAGCGUGGGGAUCAACCAGG
rnacentral:rRNA from 1 species